UCAGGAUGAACGCGUAGCGGCAGGCUUAACACAUGCAAGUCGAGGGGCAGCAGGCUGUAGCAAUACGGUGCUGGCGACCGGCGCAAGGGUGCGUAACGCGUGAGCAACAUACCCGUCACAGGGGGAUAAGCGAUGGAAACGUCGUCUAAUACCGCAUAAAACUUAGGGCGGCAUCGUCUGGAGUUGAAACUUUUUAAGGGUGACGGAUUGGCUCGCGAGACAUUAGCUAGUCGGCGGGUAACGGCCCACCGAGGCUACGAUGUCUAGGGGUUCUGAGAGGAAGGUCCCCCACACUGGAACUGAGACACGGUCCAGACUCCUACGGGAGGCAGCAGUGAGGAAUAUUGGACAAUGGCCGGAAGGCUGAUCCAGCCAUGCCGCGUGCAGGAAGACGGUCCUAUGGAUUGUAAACUGCUUUUGUACGGGAGCAAUAAGGGUCACGUGUGGCCCGAUGAGAGUACCGUACGAAUAAGCAUCGGCUAACUCCGUGCC
rnacentral:rRNA from 1 species